rnacentral:antisense_RNA from 1 species
CUCCAUGGCAGAUCGCGUGGGGAGGCCCCCGGGCCUGCCGGAGUCCAAUGUCUCCUGUUCGCUGACCCCAGGUGAUCCGCCCUCUUU